rnacentral:misc_RNA from 1 species
AUGCAGUGUAAAAAUAGCAAUCUCAUGCUUGGGAAUGUCACGUGGAAACAGAGUAGUGCUGGGUGUAAUGUCACUUCUUGUAGUUAUGGUGGAUACGUCAAUGGCAGCAUCAUGACCACGUUGUCGACAUCUCUUCAGCCUCGAUGUCCAGGGCCACAGCAAUUUCCUACCCUGCUAGCCCCNNNNNNNNAGUGACUAGGGAUGCAGUGUUUGGUCCAGCUCCAGCACCUGCGCCUGCGCCUCAUUCAGAUG